rnacentral:rRNA from 1 species
CCUACGGGAGGCAGCAGUAGGGAAUCUUUCACAAUGGGCGAAAGCCUGAUGGAGCAACGCCGCGUGCAGGAUGAAGGCCUUCGGGUUGUAAACUGCUUUUAUAAGCGAGAAAUAUGAUGGUAACUUCUGAAUAAGGAUCGGCUAACUACGUGCCAGCAGCCGCGGUAAUACGUAGGGAGCGAGCGUUGUCCGGAAUUACUGGGUGUAAAGGGAGCGUAGGCGGGACUGCAAGUUGGGGGUCAAAUCUACCGGCUCAACCGGUAGCCGCACUCAAAACUGCAGUUCUUGAGUGAAGUAGAGGCAGGCGGAAUUCCUAGUGUAGCGGUGAAAUGCGUAGAUAUUAGGAGGAACACCAGUGGCGAAGGCGGCCUGCUGGGCUUUUACUGACGCUGAGGCUCGAAAGUGUGGGGAGCAAACAGGAUUAGAUACCCGUGUAGUC